rnacentral:snoRNA from 1 species
AAACCAUGAUAUGGAAACUUGCAUAACAUUAGCUUAAAGUGCUCCCAUGCAUCAUAUAAUGACUCUCCUUCUAAUUGUCAAAAAUUCGUAAUAUCCAUACAAAGUUU